rnacentral:rRNA from 1 species
UUGGGAGCUUGCUCCCAUGAGAGUGGCGCACGGGUGAGUAACGCGUAUGCAACCUACCUUUAACAGAGGGAUAGCCCAUAGAAAUGUGGAUUAAUACCUCAUAGUUCUGAGAGACCGCAUGGUUUUUCAGAUAAAGCUCCGGCGGUUAAAGAUGGGCAUGCGUGACAUUAGUUAGUUGGUGAGGUAACGGCUCACCAAGACUACGAUGUCUAGGGGUUCUGAGAGGAUGAUCCCCCACACUGGUACUGAGACACGGACCAGACUCCUACGGGAGGCAGCAGUGAGGAAUAUUGGUCAAUGGGCGCAAGCCUGAACCAGCCAUCCCGCGUGAAGGAUGAAGGCCCUAUGGGUCGUAAACUUCUUUUAUACACCAAGAAAAAGCAGGACGUGUCCUGCCCCGACGGUAGUGUAUGAAUAAGCAUCGGCUAACUCCGUGCCAGCAGCCGCGGUAAUACGGAGGAUGCAAGCGUUAUCCGGAUUCAUUGGGUUUAAAGGGUGCGUAGGCGGCUUUUUAAGUCAGUGGUGAAAUCCUGUCGCUUAACGAUAGAAUUGCCAUUGAUACUGAAGAGCUUGAGUACAAUUGAGGUAAGCGGAAUGUGUAGUGUAGCGGUGAAAUGCUUAGAUAUUACACAGAACACCGAUUGCGAAGGCAGCUUACUAAACUGUUACUGACGCUGAUGCACGAAAGCGUGGGGAGCGAACA